UAAGAAGGAGAAUAAGAAGGAGAAGGAGAAGAAGAUCUCUGUAUAGACAGACUUCAAGAUGUUCCCAUGUGAAAAUGCAUGCUCUUUGGCCCUAAGAUCGAGAGAUUCUCCAUAGAAAAAGGUUCAGAUUUGAAAAGGAGCGGUUUCAAUGACUUGUUUGAAUAAUUGUUCUCGUUUUUCCUGGAAAAUCAAUAUAUAGAACAGAGAAAUCUCAGUGUCGUGAAAUCAACGCUGCUCUACAGUCCAAUCCAGAGAUUUUCUGAAGAAAUAAUCCAAUUUCGUUGAUUUUUUCUCAGGAUACCUCGCUUUGGAGCGUUUUUAUUGUGAGCUGUGAACAGAUUUCAGUUUUCUGGAGAAUUUGAAGGGUUUCUUGGAAGGUGGAUGUUGCAUGUGGGAGGAUUGAAGCUACAUAUUUCAGAUUCAAGCAUAUGUUGUUAUCAUACAUACAGAUCAAU